ACGGAAGAGGGGCUCGACCUGAGCCUGUCGCUGCGCCAGUACACGCCGCCGUGGUCGCAGCUGGUGUUCGCCUGCUGCUACUGCCCACGCAGCUUCAGGAGCUCCCAGGCGCUCGGCGGCCACCAGAACGCGCACAGGCCGGCCAGGCCCAGGCGGGCCACGGCGCUCUCUUCAGCGGCGGCGGCGGGAGAGCUUGGUAAGGCCGCCGUCGACCACCACCGCAGCGCCUGGCCGCGCCCCGGCGCCCACGCGUGGCGAGCAGGACACAGCCAGCAGGCCUCGUCCGGGACAAGAAGAGGCGACCAAGAGCUUGCGGAUGAGGCGAUUGAUCUGUCCCUCAAGCUAUGA
rnacentral:rRNA from 1 species